AUUGAACGCUGGCGGCAGGCCUAACACAUGCAAGUCGAGCGGAGCGGCGGACGGGUGAGUAAUGCCUAGGAAUCUGCCUGGUCGUGGGGGAUAACGUCCGGAAACGGGCGCUAAUACCGCAUACUACAAGCAGAGCCUAGGUCGGAUUAACGAGUUGGUGGGGUAAAGGCUUACCAAGGCGACGAUCCGUAACUGGUCUGAGUGGAUGAUCAGUCACACGGGAACUGCGACACGGGCCAGACUCCUACGGGAGGCAGCAGUGGGGAAUAUUGGACAAUGGGCGAAAGCCUGAUCCAGCCAUGCCGCGUGUGUGAAGAAGGUCUUCGGAUGGUAAAGCACUUUAAGUUGGGAGGCGUUACCAACAGAAUAAGCACCGGCUAACUUCGUGCCAGCAGCCGCGGUAAUAC
rnacentral:rRNA from 1 species